CCCAGCCCCACCAGCCAGCUGAGUGGUGCAGGCAUGAGGGGCUGGAAGACACUGUGGAGCAGGUGGAAGACACUGUGGAGCAGCUGUUGCCACUGCCCAUCUGACAUGAUAAAAACCAGAGGGAAGGAGCACUGCACGAGAAAGGUAUGUUCCAGGCUGAGCUGUCAGUGUAAGACAAA
rnacentral:lncRNA from 12 species